AGUCUACAAAUCAAAUAGCCAACUUGUAGAGUGCUUAAUAGGGCAGUCAAUUAGUGGGCAUUAAUGCCUGCGAUUAAUGCAGGGCAAAAUUAACAUGUUAAAAAAAUUAACACGUUAAUCUCGGAAGUCAGCAAAUCAGCAUGAGCUGCUUCAGAGACGUCUCUGGUAAGGCGCAGUAAUGCAAACCGCCACCAGAGGGCGCACGGAAAAACAAAGCAGCCAGAAAGGAGGAAAAAAACCUGAAGCCCCGGUUCUAGCUCCAGCGGAGAAGUAAACCAGAAAAGUAAAGACCCUGACACCCAUCCCGCUCCCCUCCCAGGGAGCGAGGGGAAAGUGCAGUUUCCUACAUUCUUCCCUCUGGCUGGGGAGUGCCUGGAUCAGAUGAACCUGGACCCGCCCCAGUUGCGGGACAUGCACCCCUCCCCUGGAUGUGCCUGCUGGAGCUGCUGCAACCACAGAGAGCUCACCUCCUCUCCCUGCCAUCACUGGGAAAAAUCUGAUGCAGCUCCCGCAACCACAUAUCUGAAAAUAUACAGAUUUAGCUCUUGGUCAGUCAAAUUGAACACAUCUGUUCCUGCAGUCUAUCACGAGGCAGAUUCUGCAACUCUAUUAAGCAAUGGUUGCCUACAUCUGGCAAAGCAAAUACAGGAUAAAAAAUAUCAUCUGUAAUGUUAUUUUAUUAAACUAAAAAUCUAGCGCUGCAGAAUCCCUGAGUAGAUGAGUCAUUUUUUGCAUAGGAUUCUUUUUUCUGAGUAAGCUCUUUCUUCAUACUAAAACUUAUUUGCCCUAUAUUGACAUUUGGUUAUAUUGUCUGACAAUUGCAAAAUGAUCAGCCUCUCAUAUAGAUCAGUGAUUCCCAAACCAUUUCACAGUGUGGACUAAUUGAUAAGAAGGACUUGCCCAUGAAUUGUCACUUCCAAAAGGUCAUGAACAAAUCACUCCCCAGCCUCCCAGCUUGAUCCUAUACCUUCUCUGCAGGUUCUAUGGUGCUUGAUUACAUGAAAAAACAAUAUGAGGGAAGGAUUAGAGAGACCAGACAAAAACAAGCUUGUUUCUUCAUUGUUAUUUUUCUCCCCUGCAUUUUGUAUCUGUGCUGGACCAUACGCUUAUUAGUACCAUGUCCCUAUUGCUGCCUGCAGCCCCCACUGCACUGCUUAGGUGAUGUUGCAAUUUGAUUCUGUCCUUUUGUAUAUUUACUGCCACUACAACUUGGUUGUCAUCCGCAAACGUACUAUUUACCCUAAAGAAACCCUGUACAGAAAGACACAGAGUGGUUACAAAGCAAGGUGCAUAUAGGGAGUAUUUGGAGGGAAGGCUAGAAAGGGUGUUUACUUUUGUUUUCUUCAUUUACGUGGUCAAAAAAAUCCUCUGGAAACCCUAAUCAUCUGUGAGAGGGGAUGACUAACAUGAAGUAUCACAACUUGAAAACUGAUAGAGGACAAAGCACUGUGUCAGGAGCAGCUCUAUGCUCACCUGUAAGUUUUCCAUGAAUCAUAAUGUGAGAGCUAUAGAGCAGAGGUGAUAAAGAACUGUCUGAGACAUGUGAUGUGAAGGGCUUGGGGAAAAGUUUAUGUCCUCCCUUUAGAAAAACAGAAAUAUAUGCGAUACUUUACAAUGCUGCAAUUUUGUGUUAACUUUGAUGCUAAUCCUACAAGUUCUCCACAAUGACUUUCCUGGGAACUCGUCCCUGUAUUAGCUAUUUGGUAUGGCACCUACUCUUUGUAAUUCUGUUUUAGAUACAAUGCUGGGUAGUAAAAGAACAAAGUGGAAUAUUUUGGUGAGACAAGGAAAAUAAUUAACACAUUUGCUUAAAAGUACAGGCAGUCCCCGACUUACGCGGAUCCGA